rnacentral:misc_RNA from 1 species
AGCAGCCGCGGUAAUUCCAGCUCCAAUAGCGUAUAUUAAAGUUGUUGCAGUUAAAAAGCUCGUAGUUGAAUUUCGGGAUCAAUUGAUCGGUCGUGCCUCUGGUACGCACUGGUUUUAUUGGUUUCUCCCUUCUGACGAACCAGGAUGUCAUUAAUUUGGUGUCUUGGAGAAUCAGGACUGUUACUUUGAAAAAUUGAGUGUUUAAAGCAGGCUAACGCUUGAAUACAUUAGCAUGGAAUAAUGAAAUAGGACGUUUGAUCCUAUUUUGUGGUUUCUAGGAUCGA